AUGAGGCAACAUUCUAGACGACAGGGACAACAUCCGAACAGCAUCCGGCGGAGCAGCAAUCAAACAAAAUUUUGGUACGUAGAGAUACUAGCUAGAUAGUAUGUAUUGUUGUGUGGUUGUUUGUCACCGAACUAGCUAGGUCCAUAUCUAGCUAGCUAGUUAUAUAUACGUUCAACUGCGCUGUUUCCCUCUCCAAUUGGCGCUCUGUGAUGCUGCUAAUGCUGUUCGUGAUACUGCAUGCUAGCAGCAGCAGCUACAUCUCGGUGUAUCAAAAUUUUGUUUGAUUGCUGCUUCUUUGGAUGCUGCUCCGGAUGCUGUUGCCGUCGCCCAGAAUGUUGCCUGAUGUCAAACGGCACUGCCAAGCCGUAAGAGCUGUAUGGAGGCCGGCUUCGUUGCUACACUUUUCUUUUUAAUAUGUCACUAUACAUAUGUUGUACGUUUUAUUAUCAGUAAACACUUUAUGUUAAUUAGGUACAUACCUAACUAGCUAGGUAAGUAUGUAUUGUGUGUGGUUGUUUGGUCACUAAACUAGCUAGGUCCACAUAUAUAUAUAUAUAUAUAUAUAUAUAUAUAUAUAAUUUUGUGUUGUUCUAUAGUUAAUUUUAUGAAACUGACUAUUAGCGGUAGUUAUAAUUCUGUUAUUUACAAGUAAACAAAAAUAAUUUAUAGAUUUUUUUUUUUUUUUUCCGCCCCUGAUUGAUACACAUCCUCAACUUUACCACGUUCUACUGGGCUAUUUCCCUUCUCUUCCAGCUAAAGUUGUGCAUCAUAGCAAAUUUUACUGAUUUACUAAGGUACUGAAAUGAAUGAAAAUUUGACCGUUUAAAUGAUAAUUGAUACUUUUUAAUUAACUCACAAAUACGAAACAAAAGUGAAAAAAAAAAAGAUUGAGGAUAAGCAGGAAGAGGAUGAUGCCAGAGCUCGAGUUAAACUACUAUAUAUGCAAAGAUAAUCACAAAGGAGCAAAUCCCCAGGAUAAGAAACAAGCCCGAAGUAUCAUCAAUUCACCACUAAAUACAUGCCGAUUCCCCUAAAAUAGUCAAUUAUUAUCAGCAAAUUAUUAUUAGCAAAAAUAUGAGUUUUACAUCAGAUGAUACAACAGGAUCUCGUAGCUCGAGGAGGUCGGGGAAGAUGAGGAGGGCGUCGACGACGAUGCCCUACAUCGUGUUGAACUGGACAUAGCGGCUGAAGCGGGAGGGGUUGCGCACCACCGCGAAGUAGAGGGUGAGGAAGAGGAGGAAGGGGGUGACCGGGGAGGAGCGGAAGAGCCGGAUCGCGGGGACGAGAGGCUGGAUUAGGGUUUGGAGGAAGGGGAACUGCGCGAGGACGAAGCGCCAGUACUGGACCCCGUCGAUGAAAGGGUAGAGGUAGCACGCGGCGGGGAGCACGCGAUCGGGGGGUCAGCGGAGUCGCCGUUCUUCACCGCAGCGGCGGAGGAGGGUUGGCGCCGCCACUCCUCGAUCCCGCCGCAGGAGAAGAGGGAGAGCGGGGAGGUGGUGUUGGCGGCAGCGGAGGGGAUAGGGUUUGGG
rnacentral:lncRNA from 1 species